AGCGAACGCUGGCGGCAAGCCUAACACAUGCAAGUCGAACGAAGUCUUCGGACUUAGUGGCGGACGGGUGAGUAACACGUGGGAACGUGCCUUUAGGUUCGGAAUAACUCAGGGAAACUUGUGCUAAUACCGAAUGUGCCCUUCGGGGGAAAGAUUUAUCGCCUUUAGAGCGGCCCGCGUCUGAUUAGCUAGUUGGUGAGGUAAAGGCUCACCAAGGCUACGAUCAGUAGCUGGUCUGAGAGGAUGACCAGCCACAUUGGGACUGAGACCCGGCCCAAACUCCUACGGGAGGCAGCAGUGGGGAAUCUUGCGCAAUGGGCGAAAGCCUGACGCAGCCAUGCCGCGUGGAUGAUGAAGGUCUUAGGAUUGUAAAAUCCUUUCACCGGUGAAGAUAAUGACUGUAGCCGGAGAAGAAGCCCCGGCUAACUUCGUGCCAGCAGCCGCAGUAACAC
rnacentral:rRNA from 1 species